CGAGAGUUGUGCCUUGGCGGUGGAUGCGUAGGUGACUGUAGCAGCUCGAGUUCCCUUUCUAUUACUGAGGAGACGUUAAAGGCGACUAAAUGUCUAGCAAGAGUUGUGGCCCCACAGGGCACGCCUAGCAGAUAAAAAAUUCGAGACUCAGCAAAGGCCAUGGGCCUGGUCAUACAACAGGACGAGCAACCAACAGAGACAUGGAUAUAUAUCAAAAGGAACAAUAAAGCUUGUUUCCAAAUGUAA